GAAGUUUCUUUGGACAUCAUUUAUUGAAGUCAUGGGAUCAACUAGUGUACAUACGUGUAUGUAAUGUAAUGUAAUAAUGGGACAUUAAAUAUAAAAGCAUAGCCCAGUU